AGAAUCAACGCUGGCGGCGUGCCUAACACAUGCAAGUCGAACGAGAAAGUGGAGCAAUCCAUGAGUAAAGUGGCGCACGGGUGAGUAACACGUGACUAACCUACCCUUGAGUGGGGGAUAACCUAGGGAAACCUGGGCUAAUACCGCAUGAUACCUACGGGUCAAAGGAGCAAUUCGCUUAAGCGAGGGGGUCGCGGCCGAUUAGUUAGUUGGCGGGGUAAUGGCCCACCAAGACGAUGAUCGGUAUCCGGCCUGAGAGGGCGCACGGACACACUGGAACUGAAACACGGUCCAGACUCCUACGGGAGGCAGCAGUGGGAAUUUGCGCAAUGGGGGAAACCCUGACGCAGCAACGCCGCGUGGAGGAUGAAGUCCCUUGGGAUGUAAACUCCUUUCGAUCGGGACGAUUAUGACGGUACCGGAAGAAGAAGCCCCGGCUAACUUCGUGCCAGCAGCCGC
rnacentral:rRNA from 1 species